rnacentral:lncRNA from 1 species
AUGGAGUUGGAGAUGAAUCUGAUUCAAGAACUUUGUGAAGUUUUGACGAAACUGAGCUUUGGAUCUCCAUGCUCAGAUCCAAGAUCUAAUGUCCAGGCAGCAGCAAGAAGGAUCCCCAUCCCUGACGGACACUUUUUUCUACUGACUUCUUUGGAUCUCCAUAAGAAGAAUUCGGAAUCAUCCUGGAUCUGGAAGCCAGACUAGGACCUUUACUCUCAAUCUCUUGACAACUCUACCCUUCAUGCAGUCCAUUUAAAGAGCUCCCUGGGAUUUAUAGGAGUUCAGUAUCUCAAAGAACAGUCUUUCCAGCCCAGGAAGAGAUAGACUCUAUCAAGGCUUUUGGACUGGACUAUCCAGCCAGGAAAAGGGAACCUAAUCUGCAAGAACAAGAAUGGAAGAAGAGCUGGCAGGAGUCUGAUUGAGGGUGGUUUCUGACCAGCCUGAGGAGUUCACGAGCUGAGCGGAAGGAAAGAAACGUAUAGCAGAAGAAAUUAAGAGAUCAGAGCUCUGGAAAAGCUUAGAAAGCUUUAAAUCCCCCCUUAAUUUUCCCUCCUUGUGCCUGGCAUUCCCUGUAAAAUUACUUUUUCUUGCCUUCUCUUUAACUGUUCUUUUUUCCCCUGAUUUGCUUAAUCUUUGCAUAAAGCCUAUCUUCAGCCAUAAGUACUUCAUGGCCUAUAUACUGGUUAUAUCCAGGGAGUAUAGAGUGGGGAAAAGCAGUGGCUAUUUGACUGUGCCCAAUUCAACCUGCUUUGAAGACUAAUUUUCAACCUGGAGAUAGAAAUUGCUUCCAACUAUUCAUUUUUUAAAUGAAUAAUUGGCAUUAAGAGGCCACUGGGUAGCACAGUAGAUAGAGCACCAGGCUUAAAGUUGAGAGUGCCUGGGUUCAGAUCUGGUUUCAGACACUUCCUAGGUGGUGUGAUCCUGGACAAGUCACUUAAACCUGAUUGCCUCGCCCUUGUCACAAGGCAGAAGUUGUGGAUUUGAUACUAAGACACAAGGUAAGGGUUGUGGUUUUUUUUUUAACUAAUAAUUAUUGGUAUUACUGUUCUCCCCAAAAUAAGGACAAAAGAUAGCCACAUGGACCUUGUGCCUUGGGCUACGACUUUGAGCUUCUGUAGAUAGAGUCACUUUGAAAACUGGUGCCUGAGACAAGAACCUCUCCCUUACCCACUUCUCCAGGGGAGUGGAGAUGAAAGGGGAAGAGGGCAUUUCUCAAAGAAGAUGCUCCAUCUGAAGUCAAACCCAAUGGACUGUAUCAGGGGUGAUCUGGGACAUUUAAUCCUGCCUCUUUCUACUAGGAGAAAUAAGUCAAGUCCUUCUCAGUGCAAGAUCUGCUCUUCCACAGCGCAUCUUCUGGCUAUAUUUCUCAAUGUGACUAUUUUUACUAGCUUGCCCUUGGUGUAUUUAAUACAGCAUGUCAUAUGAGUUUGAGAGCUGUCCUCAGAGUCAGGGAGACUUAACUUCAGUUCUGCCUCUGACAAAUACCGGCUAUAUGACUCUGGGCAAGUCACUGAACCUUUUAUUGCCCUAAUUUUCUCUCUAAGAAAAGUACUGAUUUGCAUUGAUUGGUUGCUUACCACUAGCUCUCUAUAUCAGUGAAAUCAGAGGUCCCCCUUCCUGUUAUUUAUUCCUUACUGAGAAUUAGAUUAAAAUAGAUAAACAUAGCUAAUCUCCCUUUUUCUCAAAAAUUUUUAAAUUCAUUUUAAUAAUUAUUACUUAUUGGAGGAGUUCCAUGGAGACUGGAACGACCUCCAGGAAGUGAUGCAGAGCGAGAGGAGCAGAACCAGGAGAACAUUGUACACAGAGACUAACACACUGUGGUAUAAUCGAACAUAAUGGACUUCUCCAUUAGUGGCGGUGUAAUGUCCCUGCACAAUCUGCAGGGAUCAAGGAGAAAAAAACACUAUCCAUAAGCAGAGGACAAACUGAGGGAGUAGAAACACCGAGGAAAAGCAACUGCCUGACUACAAUGGCUGAGGGGACAUGACAGAGGAAAGACUGAGCGAACACUAUGAUACAAAUACUAACAACAUGGCAAUGGGUUCAAGUCAAGAACACAUAUGAUACCAGUGGAAUCACGCGUCGGCUACGGGGGGUGGGAGGGAGGAAAAGAAAAUGAUCUUUGUCUUUAAUGAAAAAUGCAUGGAAAUUAUCAAAUAAAAUACUAUAAAAUUUAAAAAAAAAGAAAAAA